GACGGGGGGGGCGAGCGUUGUCCGGAAUUACUGGGCGUAAAGGGCGCGUAGGCGGUCGCGUACGGCGGUGGUGAAAGCUCCCGGCUCAACUGGGAGAGGCCCGCCGCAACGGCGUGACUCGAGGGUGGUAGAGGCGGAUGGAAUUCCUGGUGUAACGGUGAAAUGUGUAGAGAUCAGGAGGAACACCCGUGGCGAAGGCGGUCCGCUGGGCCAUGCCUGACGCUGAGGCGCGAAAGCCAGGGGAGCGAACGGGAUUAGAUACCCCGGUAGUCCUGGCCGUAAACGAUGGAUACUAGGUGUCUGUGGUAUCGACCCCAUGGGUGCCGGAGCUAACGCGUGAAGUAUCCCGCCUGGGGAGUACGGCCGCAAGGUUG
rnacentral:rRNA from 1 species